rnacentral:rRNA from 1 species
AGCGAACGCUGGCGGCAGGCUUAACACAUGCAAGUCGAGCGGGCACUUUCGGGUGUCAGCGGCGGACGGGUGAGUAACGCGUGGGAACGUGCCCUCUGGUUCGGAAUAACUCAGGGAAACUUGAGCUAAUACCGGAUACGCCCUUUUGGGGAAAGGCUUGCUGCCGGAGGAUCGGCCCGCGUCUGAUUAGCUAGUUGGUGAGGUAACGGCUCACCAAGGCGACGAUCAGUAGCUGGUCUGAGAGGAUGAUCAGCCACACUGGGACUGAGACACGGCCCAGACCCUGACGGGGGGAAGAGGGGGGGAAUAUUGGAAAAGGGGGGAAGGCCUGACCCAGCCUUGCCGGGUGAGGAUGGAGGGCUUUGGGGUUGAAAAGCUUUUUUAUCGGGGACGAAAAGGACGGGCCGGGAGAAAAAAGCCCCGCCAACCUUCGUC